AAAUUGAAGAGUUUGAUCAUGGCUCAGAUUGAACGCUGGCGGCAGGCCUAACACAUGCAAGUCGAACGGUAACAGGAAGCAGCUUGCUGCUUCGCUGACGAGUGGCGGACGGGUGAGUAAUGUCUGGGAAACUGCCUGAUGGAGGGGGAUAACUACUGGAAACGGUGGCUAAUACCGCAUAACGUCGCAAGACCAAAGAGGGGGACCUUCGGGCCUCUUGCCAUCAGAUGUGCCCAGAUGGGAUUAGCUAGUUGGUGAGGUAACGGCUCACCAAGGCGACGAUCCCUAGCUGGUCUGAGAGGAUGACCAGCCACACUGGAACUGAGACACGGUCCAGACUCCUACGGGAGGCAGCAGUGGGGAAUAUUGCACAAUGGGCGCAAGCCUGAUGCAGCCAUGCCGCGUGUAUGAAGAAGGCCUUCGGGUUGUAAAGUACUUUCAGCGGGGAGGAAGGUGUUGUGGUUAAUAACCGCAGCAAUUGACGUUACCCGCAGAAGAAGCACCGGCUAACUCCGUGCCAGCAGCCGCGGUAAUACGGAGGGUGCAAGCGUUAAUCGGAAUUACUGGGCGGAAGGCGGACGCAGGCGGUCUGUCAAGUCGGAUGUGAAGUCCCCGCGCUCCACCUGGGAACUGCAUAUGAAACUGGCAGGCUUGAGUGUUGUAGAGGCGGGUAGAAUUCCAGGUGUAGUGGUGAAAUGCGUAGAGCUCUGGAGGAAUACCGGUGGAGAAGGCGGCCUCCUGGACAAAGACUGACGCCCAGGUGCGAAAGCGUGGGGAGCAAACAGGAUUAGAUACCCUGGUAGUCCACGCCGUAAACGAUGUCUACUUGGAGGUUGUGCCCUUGAGGCGUGGCUUCCGGAGCUAACGCGUUAAGUAGACCGCCUGGGGAGUACGGCCGCAAGGUUAAAACUCAAAUGAAUUGACGGGGGCCCGCACAAGCGGUGGAGCAUGUGGUUUAAUUCGAUGCAACGCGAAGAACCUUACCUGGUCUUGACAUCCACAGAACUUUCCAGAGAUGGACUGGUGCCUUCGGGAACUGUGAGACAGGUGCUGCAUGGCUGUCGUCAGCUCGUGUUGUGAAAUGUUGGGUUAAGUCCCGCAACGAGCGCAACCCUUAUCCUUUGUUGCCAGCGGUUAGGCCGGGAACUCAAAGGAGACUGCCAGUGAUAAACUGGAGGAAGGUGGGGAUGACGUCAAGUCAUCAUGGCCCUUACGACCAGGGCUACACACGUGCUACAAUGGCGCAUACAAAGAGAAGCGACCUCGCGAGAGCAAGCGGACCUCAUAAAGUGCGUCGUAGUCCGGAUUGGAGUCUGCAACUCGACUCCAUGAAGUCGGAAUCGCUAGUAAUCGUGGAUCAGAAUGCCACGGUGAAUACGUUCCCGGGCCUUGUACACACCGCCCGUCACACCAUGGGAGUGGGUUGCAAAAGAAGUAGGUAGCUUAACCUUCGGGAGGGCGCUUACCACUUUGUGAUUCAUGACUGGGGUGAAGUCGUAACAAGGUAACCGUAGGGGAACCUGCGGUUGGAUCACCUCCUUACCUUAAAGAAGC
rnacentral:rRNA from 1 species